rnacentral:rRNA from 1 species
AGAGUUUGAUCCUGGCUCAGAACGAACGCUGGCGGCAUGCCUAACACAUGCAAGUCGAACGCAGGGCUUCGGCCCUGAGUGGCGCACGGGUGAGUAGCGCGUGGGAACCUGCCCUGGAGUGGGGGAUAACCGAGGGAAACUUCGGCUAAUACCGCAUGCGCCCGGAGCAAUCCGGGGAAAGAUUUAUCGCUCUAGGAGGGGCCCGCGUCGGAUUAGCUAGUUGGUGGGGUAACGGCCUACCAAGGCGAUGAUCCGUAGCUGGUCUGAGAGGAUGAUCAGCCACACUGGGACUGAGACACGGCCCAGACUCCUACGGGAGGCAGCAGUGGGGAAUAUUGGACAAUGGGCGAAAGCCUGAUCCAGCAAUGCCGCGUGAGUGAGGAAGGCCUUAGGGUUGUAGAGCUCUUUCGGCGGGGACGAUGAUGACGGUACCCGCAGAAGAAGCCCCGGCUAACUUCGUGCCAGCAGCCGCGGUAAUAC